GACGAACGCUGGCGGCGUGCCUAAUACAUGCAAGUCGAGCGAACCUGAUAAAAGCUUGCUUUUUGAAGGUUAGCGGCGGACGGGUGAGUAACACGUGGGCAACCUGCCUGUAAGACUGGGAUAACUUCGGGAAACCGGAGCUAAUACCGGAUCAUAUAAAGAACCUCCUGGUUCUUUAUUGAAAGAUGGUUUCGGCUAUCACUUACAGCUGGGCCAGCGGCGCAUUAGCUAGUUGGUGAGGUAACGGCUCACCAAGGCGACGAUGCGUAGCCGAGCUGAGAGGGUGAUCGGCCACACUGGGACUGAGACACGGCCCAGACUCCUACGGGAGGCAGCAGUAGGGAAUCUUCCACAAUGGACGAAAGUCUGAUGGAGCAACGCCGCGUGAGCGAUGAAGGCCUUCGGGUCGUAAAGCUCUGUUGUUAGGGAAGAACAAGUACCGGAGUAACUGCCGGUACCUUGACGGUACCUAACCAGAAAGCCACGGCUAACUACGUGCCAGCCGCCGCAGUAA
rnacentral:rRNA from 1 species